ensembl:snRNA U6 U6 spliceosomal RNA
GUGCUUACUUGGGCACUAAAAUUGGAAUGAUACAGAGAAGAUUAGCAUGGCCUCUGAGCAUAUACAUGAAGCAUUCCAUAUUUUU